rnacentral:rRNA from 1 species
CUAAGAAUCUUCCGCAAUGGACGAAAGUCUGACGGAGCGACGCCGUGUGAAUGAAGAAGGCCGAAAGGUUGUAAAAUUCUUUUGCAGAUGAAGAAUAAGAAGAAGAGGGAAUGCUUCUUUGAUGACGGUAGUCAUGCGAAUAAGCCCCGGCUAAUUACGUGCCAGCAGCCGCGGUAACACGUAAGGGGCGAGCGUUGUUCGGAAUUAUUGGGCGUAAAGGGUAUGUAGGCGGUUAGGUAAGCCUGGUGUGAAAUCUACGAGCUCAACUCGUAAACUGCAUUGGGUACUGCUUGACUUGAAUCACGGAGGGGAAACCGGAAUUCCAAGUGUAGGGGUGGAAUCUGUAGAUAUUUGGAAGAACACCGGUGGCGAAGGCGGGUUUCUGGCCGAUGAUUGACGCUGAUAUACGAAGGUGCGGGGAGCAAACA